rnacentral:rRNA from 1 species
GGGUGAGUAACACGUGAGUAACCUGCCCCUGACUCUGGGAUAAGCGUUGGAAACGACGUCUAAUACUGGAUAUGAUUACCGGCCGCAUGGUCUGGUGGUGGAAAGAUUUUUUGGUUGGGGAUGGACUCGCGGCCUAUCAGCUUGUUGGUGAGGUAAUGGCUCACCAAGGCGACGACGGGUAGCCGGCCUGAGAGGGUGACCGGCCACACUGGGACUGAGACACGGCCCAGACUCCUACGGGAGGCAGCAGUGGGGAAUAUUGCACAAUGGGCGAAAGCCUGAUGCAGCAACGCCGCGUGAGGGAUGACGGCCUUCGGGUUGUAAACCUCUUUUAGUAGGGAAGAAGCGAAAGUGACGGUACCUGCAGAAAAAGCACCGGCUAACUACGUGCCAGCAGCCGCGGUAAUACGUAGGGUGCAAGCGUUGUCCGGAAUUAUUGGGCGUAAAGAGCUCGUAGGCGGUUUGUCGCGUCUGCUGUGAAAUCCCGAGGCUCAACCUCGGGCUUGCAGUGGGUACGGGCAGACUAGAGUGCGGUAGGGGAGAUUGGAAUUCCUGGUGUAGCGGUGGAAUGCGCAGAUAUCAGGAGGAACACCGAUGGCGAAGGCAGAUCUCUGGGCCGUAACUGACGCUGAGGAGCGAAAGCAUGGGGAGCGAACAGGAUUAGAUACCCUGGUAGUCCAUGCCGUAAACGUUGGGCGCUAGAUGUAGGGACCUUU